rnacentral:rRNA from 1 species
UUGAAUUGAAGAGUUUGAUCAUGGCUCAGAUUGAACGCUGGCGGCAGGCUUAACACAUGCAAGUCGAACGGUAGCAGGAGAAAGCUUGCUUUCUUGCUGACGAGUGGCGGACGGGUGAGUAAUGCUUGGGAAUCUGGCUUAUGGAGGGGGAUAACGACGGGAAACUGUCGCUAAUACCGCGUAUUAUCGGAAGAUGAAAGU